UGGGGGAUAUUGCACAAUGGGCGAAAGCCUGAUGCAGCGACGCCGCGUGGGGGAUGAAGGCCUUCGGGUUGUAAACUUCUUUUGCUCUGAACAAGGCAUGCCUUUGGGGUGUGUUGAGUGUAGGGGUUGAUUAGCGCCGGCUAACUACGUGCCAGCAGCCGCGGUAAUACGUAGGGCGCGAGCGUUGUCCGGAAUUAUUGGGCGUAAAGGGCUUGUAGGUGGCUGGUUGCGUCUGUCGUGAAAGCUCAUGGCUUAACUGUGGGUUUGCGGUGGGUACGGGCUGGCUUCAGUGCAGUAGGGGAGGCUGGAAUUCCUGGUGUAGCGGUGGAAUGCGCAGAUAUCAGGAGGAAUACCGGUGGCGAAGGCGGGUCUCUGGGCUGUUACUGACGCUGAGGAGCGAAAGCGUGGGGAGCGAACAGG
rnacentral:rRNA from 1 species